CACCUCUCAGGGUCACACCUGGAGAGUUUCCAAUACUCUACCAGUCUCAACUAAGGGAGGUAGAGUCAAGCAGAGAGGCAUAUCCCUUCUGUUCCUAGCUUGGGCAGUGGCUAGUGAGGGGAAGACAAUCUGCUACAAGU